rnacentral:misc_RNA from 1 species
AACGCAUAUUGCGCCCUCUGGUAUUCCGGAGGGCAUACCUGUUCGAGCGUCAUUACACCCCUCAAAGACGACUCUUUGACGUUGGGCAAUGCCUGAAGGCAUGCCUCAAAAUCAGCGAUGGCGACAUCCUGCCGCAGGCGCACCAACGUGUCUGGCCGGCGGGACGUUGCCAGGCAAUUGAUGAAAUUCUCCAUGUUGACCUCGGAUCAGGUAGGGAUACCCGCUGAACUUAA